rnacentral:lncRNA from 1 species
CUAUCUUGGCGUCUCCAGUGGCCUCACUGUUGUCCUUGACCAGCCACUGACACUCAGGCUGGCUUUUUCUCUAAGAAAAGCUGCAUUUAAAGUGAGUAAAUGUUCCCUCUGGGUCAUUCCCAUGCAUAAAGAGUGCCUCUGCACCUGACAUGGCUGGGGCACAGGGGUAAGGUAGAUCACACCAGUGCAAUGUAUGUGCAGUGAGUAUGCAAGUGGUACAGCUCUUAAGGUGGCGCGUCUGUAGUUUGUUCCUUCGGAUGUUCAAAUGUGUUCGGAGUUU